rnacentral:rRNA from 1 species
UGGCGGACGGGUGAGUAAUGUCUGGGAAACUGCCUGAUGGAGGGGGAUAACUACUGGAAACGGUAGCUAAUACCGCAUAACGUCGCAAGACCAAAGAGGGGGACCUUAGGGCCUCUUGCCAUCGGAUGUGCCCAGAUGGAAUUAGCUAGUAGGUGGGGUAACGGCUCACCUAGGCGACGAUCCCUAGCUGGUCUGAGAGGAUGACCAGCCACACUGGAACUGAGACACGGUCCAA